UUCAUGUCAUGGCUAAAUACUUUUUCAUGCUUGUUGCAGACCUCUGUGGUUAGUGUAGUGAAACCUUGCUGGAUCUUGAGCCCAUUAAUGGGAUGUGGCACUUGAGCUAGAAUGGAAAACCUCGUGGGCAGAUUGAUGUAAUUAUUAUUGGUGAUACAGUGCUGCUACCUUUGCUCCCUCUCUCAUCAAAAAAUUGUCUUAAAAUUUUGCACUAAGAAAAUCUGUGUUUUUUAUAUUGCCGUGGCAAAAUGUUAAAUGGGCUUCACUUUUUUUUUUGGGGUGGGGGGUGGGGAUAAAAAAGAAAACAAAAGAAAAUUUUCAAAUUUUACAUUCCAUCAUUACCUCGGACUCAGGAGUGGGGAAAGGUUAAAGUUUUGUACAGUAAUAUAGAGAAACCCUCUGCCAAUCCAAACCUCUGUGAAAGGGAUCCCAUUUCAUGACAAUCUUUGUGGGUUUUGAGUUGGAAUACUCUGUCAGGUUAGAAGUUGUUUCAAUUAAUUAUCUAUAACAUAUAAGUUGUGUUAAAUUGUAUGACUAUAUAGUGAUUCAUUGUAGGAUACUAGGACAUCAAAGAGCUCAAAAUUUCUGACAGAUUUUCUUCCUAAAUUUGGUUAAAAAGUGAUGGAUAGAUUAGAACUAAGUUGCUCAGCAAUUUGGAGCUGUAAACAUCUAGAAGGCUGGAACUAAAUGCCAUUUGAUUAGGUUAGAAUAAUAUGAGCCGAGCUUACAAUCUUUGUCAUUCAUUCAAUUGCUUUUUCAGAUGACCACAAUUCAUCAUGUUGAUAUUAUCCGAUUGGUGCCUUGUAAAUUUCCUUUAUGACUAUGAUAUAGGGCAUUAUUGAAGAGUUGAAAACAUCCAAAGAAAAUUAGCGAGAAUAGGUUCUGGAUUAAAAAGACAACUUUAUGCAUGUUUCCUUUCUGCUUCAUCAAUUGAUUAUAGACCAUUAAUUACCUAUGCCCUUUUUUGUUUCGGCUUUGCUUUACAGUAAUAGUGCCUAGAUGUAAUGAUAGGAAAAUGUGCAAAUCGGUUGUCUAUUCAUCUGGUGUACCUCUAAUAGCUAGAAAAAUGAAGGUAUAUAUCCUUUGAAAUAUUCAGUUUGUUUAGUGUCUAAACUAUGUUUUGUUCAGUCAACCAUUCCUAAAUUGUUUCGAAGCUUCAUGCUGCAUUUAUCCAGUUUGUAGAGCCUGGAACUAAGUUCUAUAUGGACAGUUCUUGCAGCAUCUGAGGAUCCCCUUCUGCUAGUAGUGCAGCAUCAUUAAAGGCACCUUUGUUAAUGGUGUUGAUUCUGUCUCAUGGACGGCAAAUAACUCAGUGAAGCUUUUUAGUUCCCAGAGUGAUGGUACUCAUUGUUGGACCUUUUUCAGCGCUGCAGCUUAUGGAAAAUGAAACAAGGUUCCACAGAUCUGUUGGUACAUAAAUGUGUGUCUUGUUUAAAAUACUUGUUUUCACAUGAUUAUAUGCUAGCAUUGACACACUUUUUUAUCAAUUGCCUAGACCUGUUGAAUCCAUUCAUACUUCAGCUUGAAAUCCGAGCUAUUGAAACAAGGCUCCAAUGAGUUCAGUUUUGGACUAUCCUUAUAGUUGUCCUAUUUCCUUUAUGGUUAUAAGUGCUGCGUUUGGCAUAUGAAUCUAAUUGAAUGAAAGUGAAUCAGGGGUUGGUCUUAAAAGCGCAUAUUGUUCAAAUACAAAAAGUAAUAUUAUUUGAGACAAUUCAUACGGCUUCCUUUGAGUGAAAAAUAGUCAUAUUACCAUUUAAACUGGCAUGAUAUGUUCUUCCAGUUUAUUCGAAGAAUUAUGAGAAGAACCUCAGGUGUGUUAACUAAAAAAUGCCCAAAAUGGACUGUUCAUAUUCAUGCCACUGAAUCCCAGGUAUGUUAAUUUUAAACUCCAAUUAAAUGCUCUAAUCUUUCUUCACUCAUUUUAGCAUGUAUUCCAUAAUUCAUGCUUUCUUCUUCCCCUUUUAAUUUUUCCUCUUCUUCUCUUUUAGCUUCCGUAGUAUUGGGAAUCAGUUGUUAUUGAUGUUGGAAAAAGGAAUUGUUUUAUUUGGAUCAUAAGAGGGACAAUCCUGAGCUUGAUUAUGUACUUUCCAUUUGACGCCAUUUAUAUUUAUAGGCUUCUUCAAUAAGUUGAUGUCGUUAUCUGUGUGAAUAUUUUUAGCUCUUGUAAUAAUGCUAUUUGAUUUCUGAUAACUAGUAAUUGGGUAUGGAAAGUGAAACAAGGUUUCCCAGGUCAGUUCAUAAAUAAAUAUAUGUUUACAUUCACGCACUUGCUAGUCAAUUGCUUAGAGCACUAGCAUAGUAGAAUAGCUUCACACUUUAGCUUGAAUUCCCAAGCUAUUGAAUGAGUUCAGUUUUAUGUGCAUAUUUAUUUAGAUUUGGUAAUAAUAUUAGCUUGAUUUUCUGCGUUAUACUUUGAAUCAAUAUAAUGUUUCAAUUUUACAGCAGAGAUUUAUGUUGCUAUUUAGCUUCAGAAAUAUCAGACAAGGAAUUUUAAACAUAAGCUCGAAGCUUGAUUAUUCACAUAUAAAUAAUGUGAUCUAUGUCGAUUGCAGAUUAUUUAGGAAGCAGUAUAGUUCAUACUGAGGUGUUAUCGUGGACAAAAUUAUUGUUUCAUCUGACAUAUUGUUCGCUUAAGCAAUAGUAAUGAACUUGAGGUGUUAGUUUUUGAAGUCUUCUGUUUAUAUAUAAGUUGUAUUGAAUCUCUCUCGACAAUCUUUCUUCUAGUUUUGAUCAUUGCAUCAUAAUUUUCACAUCUGUGUUUAUAAUAUAACUCUGUGCAUUACUUCAUCUUUUUCUCACUUUUUGAUUCCUUGCAUCUUGAAUCUGUUUAAUCAAUAUUCUGGACUUCUUUUGUGGAGAGGCUGCCCUUCUGAGAAUCUGUUUUCAGUUAUCACUUACCCCUUCUAAUAGUUUGCAAACCAGAUGUGGUUUUUGCAUGUUCAUAAACUUGCAAUGUAAUUUGUUUAUUAGUUCAGUUAAUACAAAUUUCAAAGAUGAAAAACACAAAAUGACUAUUUAUUCCAAGCGUAUAUAUUUAUAUCUUGGACAGCAUUGAACUCUUUUUUUAAAAAAAAAAAAAUUGUUACAAUUGCCACAUUUGUAAUCUAAAAUUUAUUGGAAAUCUAGAUACAGACACUUAGUAGUGCAAUCAAAAAUAAAAAAAAUCUGUCGGACAUUAACUUGAAAAUAUGUUUCUACUACUAUUUGGAGAAGUGUAUAUUGUACGUGGCAUUGAACUUUUCUUUCUAUUUCUUUUUUCAAAAUUAUUACAAUUCACACAUAUUUCAUUCUAAAAUUUGUUGAGAUUCUAGAUACAAAUACUCAAGGAUACAAUUUUAAGCAAAUGACUCGUGGAGACUGGAGAUAUCUACCCUUAAUUAUUUAGUGAAAAUAAAUUAGAUAUCAAAUUUUGUCAUAACAAAAUUAAUCCAAAACAAAACAAAAGAUGUCACCUUAAUUGUUGAUAUAUCUGAAUCUUAUUAUCCUCCUUUUGCAACUACGAAAACAAAAGAAUAUUUCAGCAGUGGCGAGAGAGCAGGGCAGAAUCAAGUAUAAAACAUAGGAUAAGGAACGAGAUUAUAACGAACAAAACUACCACUAAAUGAUGACAACUUUCAUUUCAUUUGCAUCUUCAUCCUCUCUGAUUCUUCAACCCCUUAAACCCCCAAAAUCCUCAAGACUCUCAAAAGCAAAGACACUAACUUCAACCAUUAAAGCAACUUCUUCUCAACCAAAACCCAACAACGCAAAUGCUUAAAAACCCACUUCAAGAAACCGCAGAAGAUCAUCGUAUGGCAGUUCGAGAAGGUCAGCUCUCAAGAAAACAUUCGCCCAAGAGCAAGUCACGUUCACUACACCCGUCUCCAGUGACCCGCGUGUGGGGAUUAUUGGUGGAGGCAUGGCCCGUCUCGCACUCUCGCUUGUGCUUUGAGUUUGGAUAAGAGAGGUGUAAAGUCCACUAUUUUUGACACGGUUUGUCACUUGUCUGGUUUCUUGGCCUUUUUUUUUUCUGUACUUUUGUGUUUUUGAUUGGAGAGCUUGAAGUGGGUGGCCAAUUCAAUUAUCUGUUUAAUAUGGUUAGGUUGUGUUUGUAUUUGAGAGUAUACGCUUGUAUAAUGGUAAUGUAAAAAAUUUGCUGUCAACAGUCUAGCAUGUGUUGUUAUGCAUUGAAUUUUGAUUAUAAGCAUCUUUUGGAAUUGAGGUGCUCUGACCUUUGAUCUGCGUUUGUUGAGGAAUGAAAUUAAAACAUUAGCUGCUAAAUAAAAAUGGGGGUUCAUCAAAAUUUUAGUCAACCACAUUUAUGUAUUCUUAACACUGUGCUUUGCUAUAUCAGGGGAAUCAUGGCUUGGGAGGAAGAAUGGGAACCAGAAUGAUUGGUCCUCAACCACUGAUAUUUGAUCAUGCUGCUCAAUUCUUUACUGUGACUGAUUCUCGGUUCAUGAGUUGGUUGAUGGUUGGUUGGAGAGAGGUCUGGUGUGACCAUGGGAAGGUGCGAUUGGAGAGCUUGAAGUGGGUGGCCAAUUCAAUCCAUUUCCUUCUUCACCUCCAAAAUACAUUGGUGUUAAUGGGAUGCGCCCUCUUGCGGACUCUUUAUUGGCCCAGGUGACAAAUCUUUGUUUUGCUUUUGUGUUCUUUUCUUGUUGAUUCCAUCAUGCUUCUUUGAAUUAAAAGGGGAAAAUUGCCUAAUUAAAUCACAAUGGUGAAAAAACCGAAGUAUUGUUUUGAAGUUUGCUGGAAGGUAGUGUUGCUGCUUGGGUAUUCAAAGUCCCAAAAUCAUUAUACCGUUGAGGUUUGACCGGAGAAGGAUGAUAAGAGUAUAUGAAACUAAAAGCUAUAAUUACAUGCUCACAUGAUUUUAAUUGCUUAGGCUGCAUGGCUAUACUUAAUGAAAUGUGCCGACAAUGAUCAUAACUGACGAAAAGAAUAACCAGCAUGAACAUUUUGCACUGCUGUAUGAUGACUACAAUUCCUGUGAAGUAACAGGCUCUAUAUAUGGAUAAUGGAUUAUUAAUAGUGAGUUGGAGUUAGUUAUAGACAGCAUCUUACAUGGCAUGCCUUUAUUUUUAAAUUAUUUAAAUAAGUUCCUUUGUCCUUCAUGCCUUGGCUUAAUGCAUUUUGAUUCUUGUUGCAGACCUCUAUGGUUAGCAUAGUGAGACCUUGCUGGAUAAGUAAUCUUGAGCCAUUUAAUGGAAUGUGGCACUUGAGGGAGAAUGUGAAACCACGUGGGCAGUUUGAUGUGGUUGUUAUUGCUCAUAAUGGUGAUUCAGUGCUGCUAUCCUUUCUCGUUUUCUCUCUCUGUGGAUUGUUAUAGUCUUACAUUUGCAUUCCAAAAAUGCAGGUUAUUGUUUUUCGUAGUUGUAUGAACGUGACAAUUGCCUUUGCUAUUGGAAAAAAAAUAAAAUAUUUCUGAUUUUACUCUCUAUCAUUACAGUGGAUUAGGAAUGGAAAAUAAUCUGGUUUAUUACAGGGAAACCCUACCGAAAUCCAAACUCGGUCCCUCUCCCUAACCAUCCUGGAAUACCCUGGGGGGUUAGAAUGCAUAUAGUGUUACAUUAUAUGAUUUUGUAGUUCGCUGAGUUCUUAUGUUUUCUGCGAUACUAGGACUUCAAAAAGUGCUGAAAACUUCAUAGAAUUUCAUACUGAUUUUUCACUGUCAAUUUGGAGAAAAUGAUGGCUAGAUUACAAGUAAGAUUAAGAGCGACUUUUAAAUUUAAUCAACUGGAAGACUGGUAUUGAAUGGCUAUUAGUUAGGUUAGAAUAAGAUGAGCAAGACUUUCAAGCUGUGCCAUGCAUUCACUGGCCGUUGUAGUAUUACGUAGGUUGUUAUGGAAGUAAAAAAGAUCUCUAUAAAUUUAACAACCAGAUUAGGUUUCUAGAUCCAGAAGUCGAGGUUAUGUUUAUUUGCUUACUCUUUCGACUGUUAAUUGCCUAUGUCUUUUUCUGUUUACAUUUUGGCUUAGCUUUGUAAUAAUAGUUCCUUCAUGUAAUGAUAGGAAAAUGUGCAAACUGGUUGCUUGGUUCAUCUGGCUUACCUCAAAUAGCUAGACAAAUGAAGGUAUAUGCUUUGAAAUAUUCAGUUCUUUUAAUAUUAUCUAGCCUAUGUUUUAUUCAGUAUUGGCCAGUUCUAAUUGUUUUGAAGAUUCAUAACUCAUUUUCCUGGUUUGUAGAGGCUGGAACUAAGUUCUAUAUGGGCCCUUCUUGCUGCAUUUGAGGACCCCCUCCCACUGGGCAGUGCAUCAACAUUUGAAGGCGCCUUUGUGAAAGGUGUUGAUUCUGUCUCAUGGAUGGCAAAUAACUCAGCAAAACUUUUGAAUUCUCAGAGUGAUGCUCCUCACUGUUGGACCUUCUUCAGCACCGCAGCUUACGGAAAAUGAAACAAGGUUCCACAGGUCAGUUUGUAUAUAAAUGUGGGUCUUCUUAAAAGUACUUGCUUACACAUGAUAAUAUGCUAGCAUUGGCACACUUUUUAACCAAUUGCCUGGACCUCUACUUGAAUCCAUUCAUGCUUCAGCUUGAACUCCAAGCUAUAGAAACAAGGCUGCAAUAAGUUCUGUCUUUUUGUGCAUAUUUAUGUUCCCUUUUAUACUUGAAUCAAUAUGACAUUUCAAGUUUACAGCGAACUUUGGUGCUGUGUGGAUAUAUAUAUGUUGCAAUUUAGGCUUUCUGCAAGAUUUUUAAUGAUUUUUUUAUCAUUUAUUAGGAAAAUAUCCCAACUGCAACAGCAGAGAAGGUGAAAAAAGGUAUGCUCGAGGGUGUUGAAGCUGCACUUGGCCGACCGAAAGGUUCACUUCAGAAGCCCAUUUAUACUCGAGUCCAUUUAUGGUAAGACUCCACUUUUAAGGACAUGACCUUGUAAUUUCAUUUUUUUAUCUUGUCCAAUUUGGAUCCUUGUAACCUACUUGACCUGUAAAUAUUUGCUGUUGGUGUUGGUUUAGAAUGAGUGGUUGAUUUGGACAAGCUUAAAAAGUUAUUGUGUGGACUUGUGUAUAGUCCUAGUUCUAUUUUCCUGUUACGCUCAUUUUUAAAAAAAGAUGGAACAUGUCAUUCCAAUUUAUUAAAUAAAUAAAACAACUUCAGAAUUUCAUGAUUAAGAAAAUAGUUCCUAUGUGAUGAAUUAGGUAUUUAUUUAUUUAUAUAUCUAUUUUAUUUAUUUAUUUUUUUGGGGGGGAAAUGUGUAGGGGUGCAGCUCUUCCAACUAAUACCCCAAGUAUUCCAUGUAUCUUUGAUCCUCAUGGAAGGGCUGGUAUAUGCGGCAAUUGGCUGUUGGGUUCAAGUGUAGAGUCAGCUGCAUUGAGUGGCAUGGCUCUUGCCAAUCAUGUAAGCAAGAAUAUGAUUUUUCUUUUGCUUAUUUGGUUUUAUUUUGUGCAUGUAACUAUAUAUUUCAUGAUUGAUAUAAAUAAAAUAAAAUAAAUCUAAGACAACCAUUCUAUCCCUAUAGGGACAUCUAAAUAUAAAUUUGUAGAUUGGCUUCAAUCAGAUUGAAAUAUCAGACAAGUUUCAACAACAUUAGCUUGAAGCUUGGUUAUUCUUAUAUAAAUAACGUAAUCGGUCUAUGUAGAUUGCAGACUAUUUAGGAAGUGGUGGAGUUCGUCCUGAGGAAUUUGCUGUCGGUUUACACAACGAGUUUCAAUCGCUCGAAGGACAUGAUAUUGGACAAUUCCUGGGUUUGGAGUCCGUGAAAAAAGAGCAAGUUCAAGCAUAUCAGCUUACUUCUUGAAUCCCUAAGCAGGCCACAAAAAUUUCUGGAGUUUUUCAAGGUAUACUUCUAUUGAUACACUCUUUAUGGCUUUCUUUUUUUCACUUGGGUUACUGUCAUGUUAAUUCUCUUGGUUUUUAUGGCUAGGAUUAAGAAGUUUAUUCACAAAAUGCAGUUAUUGGCAUAGUUGCUAAGCAAGCAUCCUGAAAUUCUUUUUGUGAUACCAUCCAUUAUGAAACGUAAAUGAGUACAGAUGCAAAGGAGAGCGGAUUCUUGGAGCAGCUAAAUCCUUACAGAAAACUUGUUUUCAGUAGCAUAGGUGACAGGAAUUGUGAUAUUUCCCUGGCUUUCAUGGAAGAAAAUAAAAAAUUUCUAAUAACUGUAACCUUUUUGAGUUCUCCACAAAUCAGUUUGAAUAUGAAGCCAAAAAUCAGAUGCAGAUUUCAGAGCAACAAAGUUCAAUGCUAUCAGUUGUUUUGGGUUCAAGUGAUCAGAGCUUCAUCCGGCACAAGCUCGCCUAACAGAGUAUGAAAAAUAUUGAAACCUACAGUUAACAAUUCUCAAGUUCCAUAUUUGACCUGUAAUCACAUUCAAGUUAAUACAUGACUACUGAUAUAUGAAAUGACAUUUUUAUUCAGUUCCAGGAAAGUCGCAUGCAGAGGAUUUAAGUUUCAUAUUAAUGGAAUGGUUUUGAGCUUUAUUAUUAGAUUUUUAAAAAAAAAUAAUUAAUGGAGUUAACAUUACUUAUUACAGGACAAGAAAGAGAGAUUAAUUCUCCAUGGGAAAAGCGUUGAAAGAAGCUUCUCAUGCGCGUAAUCAGCCUCUCAGUUGCUUACCAUGGCAUCUUUUCCAUACUUAUACACAUGUUGAUAGAAUUCUUUCUUGGUUAAAUAAUCUGGGACAAAUCGCUGUUCAUUGGCAACACGAGCAACAAAAUAUCACACAAAUUAAUUCCAACAAAAAUAAUAUUUUUACACGAGAGACUUGUGUGAGAGAAGAGGGUUAAUUAGAUGAUUACUAUUGAGAUCACAAGUAUGAGCGAAAUGAACACAGGCAAUUGAACAAACCGUGACAGAGUCUAUCCAGCUGAAGAAAUCGAAAACUCUUCGGCAUUUGUCUGCAAGCUUUAAAGCCGUCGGAAAACCAUUGUGCUUCUGCUAAAUUAACUUGAUAGCCAGCAACAAAAACAACAAGAAGAGCCCAGCACAGUAGCAGUUUCUAGUUUUUCAUGCUUCCCUUCUUUUCUUUCUUGAGAUUGAAAUGAUUUAAGAUUUAUUUAAAGGGUCUUUGUCUUGGUAUGCAAAUAAUGGUUUGAAAACAGAUUAUAUGCUAUUACAAGUUAAUUUUUCUGAUAACGAGUGUUUGACUAGGAUUCUUGUCGUAGUAUAAUUAUUAAACAUGAUUUUAUAAUUAAUGAUUCUACUAUGGUAGUAAUGAUUCUAUAAUGAUUUUAUAAUUAAUGAUUCUACCAGGAUUUGAAAACUACUAUGGUAGUAAAAUUGCUUGAAGCAACAGCUUAAAAUUAUCAGAUGGUGUGAAAACCGGAGAAGAUCUACCAAGAGGGUAAUGAAGUUUUCUAAAGUCCAACUGAAAUGAUUUCAGGAUUCACUUCAACAAUGCAAAAACAUAUUUGAUAUUUCAAAACUGAUGAAAUUCAUUAUCAUUAUCGUUAUCUUGGACGUAUUUGAAAUGCAUUAUCAUUAUCGUUAUUUCAAAACUGAUGAAACAUAUUUGAAAUGCAUUAAUUACUGAUGCUAGCACUUGAAAUAAAAAAAUAAAAAAUCAAAUGAUAGCCAUGUUCAAGAAGCGAAGUAUUUUUAUAUUUCAUACUUGGCCGUACCGCAAACCCAAUUUAUAAGACAUGAAGAAGAAAUCUCCUUUAUAGAGUUAUUUCUAAAAUGGCAGAAUCUACCAUCUUGAAUCAAAGUAUAUCAUUAGAAAAAGAAGGAGAAUUAAGGACAUUUUAUCUCGAGAGCUACCUGAUAGGGUACUCCAUUCUUGACAGAGUAACGGCCCUCGUUGUCAUAUUGCCACAGAAUCUGAAGUUCUUUGAGGAAAUGAAUGCUUUGGUGGAAGAAGACCUUGAGCAAGAACAAGACCAACAUGAAAGAGAGAUGAAGAAAAUCUCUAAUUUUGCAAAUAUGGUCUGAUUGGCUUGUCAGAUAACUAACCAAACUAAUCACUACUUUCAGUGUCAAUCAAAUUCCAACAAACAAUUCAUUUUCUGUUCGAACUCGAGUGGUGAUCAGCCAAAUAAAGUUGCCUGAAAACUGCUCCGACAAAACUCUGGGGAUAUAGUACAUUGCUUGUUGAAAUUGGUGUAUGUAAACAGAAAUUCAAAAGCCCUCACCGAAAUUUGACAGAGAUUGAAAGUAGCGAUUAAUUUGGUUAGAUAAAACUUACAAGCCCACAAGACCAAUUUGAUUAGUUAGAGAUCUUCUUCCACCAAGCAUCCACUUCCCCAAAGGAUUUCACCCAGAGGAUUUCAAGAGAUCGAUCUUUAAUUUGCCGUCUCUGAACAUGAAACAUGAUCCAAUAUAUUAUCACCACCUAGCAAUAUCUGAGUAGGCUUCUCUUUAACCUUGCAUGUUAUAAAGAUUGAGUACAUAUAAAUAAAAGGCAAGUGCUAAGUUAUAUGUAAUGUAACUUACACUACUCACAUGAACAGUGAGUGAGCCCCACACCAUCACUAUUAAUGUGAGUAGAUGUAAGUUACAUUAAAUAUAACUUAGAGGGAUCUAGAUAAAAUUGUACUCUGAAAAUUUGCCCUGGCCCUCAAUACAUGUUAAUCCAUGAGUUAGGUAAGAGUUAGUUAGCUUUGUCCUAUUUAGGAUUGCUGCCUUAUAGGUGUAGCUUCUAAGCAACAACCUCGGUUAAUGACUUUGUAUUUGAUGAAAAAUCUUUGUUACUCUCACUAUUUUUUUCAAUUAUUAUUUUUCAAGCUUUAAAAAUCAUAUUUAUCAAUUAUUUUCAACUUUUAUUUCGUUGCAAUUGUAACUCAAUUUUUAAGCCACAACACUCUAAAUAAAUCCUCAACAAUUAAUGGUCUCUUUAACCUUGAAAUAUUAAUAACCCACCUUCGGUCACCAUGAGCCACCACCGCACCACGAACUGCCAUCGGCAUUUAUAUUUUGCUAUCUUUUGACGUUAAUUUUAUACUAUUAGAAUCUUUAUUACUGGAUCUACCCAACAAUUGCUUGUAUCAUCGACAAUAAAGUUUCUCGUCAUUUUAAGUACAUAGAUACAAAACUUUGACCGUAAAUCUACGAUGAACAGAAGCUCUAUUUUCGGUAUUACAUUUACUGUUAUGAAACUCCAACGAUAAGGAUUCUCUUGGUAUCAAAAUUGACGUCAAAGGAUGCCAAAAUUAUAUCGAAGAGGGUAGAUUACGGUGGUUGGUGAUGGUCAAUAAUUUUGCCAUUCAAAUUUAUUAUUUGAUAAACUAAUGAUAAACAAAUUAAAUAUGUUUUAGUGUGUUAAAUAAUUUUGUAUUUUAAAAGUCAACAAGACAUUGACGGGGAGGGGGGAAGGGGGCAUGGGCUUUGAUAACGCAGCAAAAAAUGCAUUAACGUUGUAAUUAGUGUUAUCCAACGCAUUUCAUUUCAAUUACUAAAAAUUGGUUUGUUUCAAUUAAUGUUGUACCCAUGAAGUAGAGUAUGCCAAACGUAUUUUUUAAGUAUUGAAAUUGGGCAAAAGUUAUACCAUAAAAAUAUUUGAUAAACACUUGUUACUAUAAUUUAAAAUUUAAGUUGAUUUGAUUAAUAAGAUAAAAAAUUUAAAAUAUAUUUUUUGUUUUUAUAAAAUUUUAUUUAAAAAUUAUAUUUAUUAUGCAUUAUUAAUUUUUAUAUCAAUUUAAACAAAAAUGCGAAGAAGCCCCGGCCUUUUAAUAGAAAUGCGAAGGCAGUGUUGCAACUUGGGUCGGUCCUCCCAAGUACAGUACUAUGGUACUGAUCAAAGUCCCAACCUCAUCUCAGUUUUGAGGUUUAAUCCCAUAAGGAAAAUAAGAAUAUAUGAAACUAGAAGCUAAAAUUACAUGGUCACAUGAUUGCAAUUGCAUAGGCUGCAUGGGUGGACUUAAUCAUAACUGAGGAAAAGUAGUAGCAUGAACAUUUAUUUUGGCACCACUUUGUUAUGACUAUAAUUUGUGAAAAGCAACAAGCUUAUUUAUAUAUGCUACAUUAGUAUUGAAAUGGAGUUAGGUGGAUACAAACAUCUUAUCAAGGCGUAUGCCAUUAUUAUAAAAUUAUGUAAGGCAAGUUCCUUCAUGUCAUGUCCUUUUACGGGUCUAAUUCUGUUUUAAUGAUUGUUGCAUCUUAAGGUUAAUGGAAUGAGACCUGCUGGACAAGUAAUCUUGAGCCAUUUUUUCUUCCCAAUUUUGUUUGUUUGUUUGUUUUGGGGAUUGUAAUGCAAAAGAUUUUAGACUGGGAAUGUAAUUAUAUGUUGCUAUGAGCUUUAGUUUGAUUAUAAUGAAUAAAUAAAUGUAUUACUGAAUUUCAGAAAUGAAGCUAGUGGGAAGAAGAAUUAAGCUUAAUUGAGAUUGAUAUAUAGAGGGGUACUGUGAUGAUCCAAGCAUUGAAGGCACAAAGAUCCAUCUCUGUUGGAUUACAAACGAGCAAGGAUAUCAAAGAAACCCCACCAACAAGGCAAUUUAGAGACAAUCUGUUCUACAUAGAUUCACUUAUUCUCUAACAUAAAUUACUUCUUGUGUGUUUUCUUAAGCAUUCAUUGCUUUUUGGGACUUGAUAGAGUGUUGUGGGAGUUUGACAAUUAUAGUAUCUGUGGAACUUAUAUCGUAGCUUUUGUUAUGUCAUGACAUCGCAGCUUAGUUUUAAUCUCAAUUGUUAAUGUCAUCAUCACGAUUCAUGAUGUCAUGGAAGUUCAUGAAUGUUUAUCUUCAGCUAUGUAAAUGAUGCAAAUCAAUUAUUAAAUGGUCAAUUUUAUUCAUAAAUUAUUAAUUAUAAAAGAAAUGAAAAAAUCUCAAUAGUCGGUAGAAGUAAAGGUAUCAAUUUAAUUAGAUCAUAGAUAAUAAACAAAAAAUAAAUUUUAAGUAAAUCAUAAAUAAAAAAUAAAAAAAUUAAUUAAUUACUAUAAGGUAUAAAUAAAAAAUAAUGACAUAAAUGGAAGUCUCAUAAAUAGAUAUUUAUAUUUUAAUCUUAUCCCACUUAAACUCAUGCAUAAAUUAGGAUUAAUAAUCUCAUAAUUUAGGAUUAAAUUUAAAUUUAGAUUUCCUCUGUCUAAUCGAGAUAAACUUACAAAAUAUAGGAUAAAUAUUUAAUCACAAAAUUAAUCCAAUCUCAUACUUAAAACCUAGUAUCCACUAGGAGCUGUACGUUGCAGAUGGUAAUGGGCACUGCUUGCACUCCGCAUUGGGCUUAUUAUUACUAAAUCCACACUCGCAUAAAAUUUAAAUUAUCAAACCGACACCCACAUCUGCUGCGGGUUUUAAUUUUUUAAGAAAAUCCACCCGUUGUAGGUUUUGACAAUUACUAUCUACAAUGCUACCCGACGGAUUUUUUGCGGGUUCUCAUAUUUAAAAUAACAAAUGUUUAAUAUAUAAAUUUAUAUUAAUAAGCUAAAAUUCCACAAAAAUAUACUCAAUUCUAAAUUUAAUCAAAGUAAAUAGAAAAUUAAAAUUUCAAUAUCAAUUCAACACAAAUUCUUAAAUUUAAGUAUGAAAUAUAUAAAUCCAUAAAAAAAAACCACAAAUGCCACGAAAAAUUCAUGGGUGUGCGGUUGCGGCACAAGGGUGAAAGGAAAAUGGGUAUGCUACUGCUGCUCAUGGGUGGAAGGGAAAUAGUUUGGAAGGCUAGGUUUUGCAGCUGCUGCUCAAAGGUGAAAGGGAAAUAGUUUGGGUUUCCUUUAGGUUAGGCUAUGAGUUGCAACUUGCACACACGACAUGUAACGUAUUUAUACUUUACAUUUAUUUAAUUUAUAAAUUUUUAGAUUUAAUUAUUUUUUCAAUUAAAAUUACAUUAAAAAUAUUUGGGGAAAAAAGUUACAGGUUUAGUAGAUAUCCAGGCGGCAUCCAUCGGAUAUUUAGUUAAUACCAAACCCACCCACAACGUAGUGCAAGUUUCAAUUUUUGAUACCAAACCCGCCCGUAACCCACAAAAUUACUAGUAAUGAGCGGGUUUUGGCAGGCAAGUUUGGACGAAUUUACUGGUUUGUAGGUACCAUUUAGGCUUGGCAAAAUCUGGAUCCAGUCCGGGUUUUGGUGUUGCCCGGGACUGGACCAAAUGAGUGAAACUCAAGACCGGACCCGGGUUAAAACCCGAUUUUUCCAGGUGCGGUCCGGGCUCAAGCCCGGCACCCUCGGGCCGGGGUUUUUUAUCCGGGUUUCUAAGCCCGCAUGUGAUAACUCAAUAUUUUUUUUCUUCAAUUUUUUCUUUCAUUUAUCUAACAAUGCAAAUUUUAGAAAAGAAAAUAGUCGAAUAAACUCAUUCAAUCUCAAGCUUUAAAAAAGAAAAUAAUCAAAUACAAAUAUAUAACAUACUAACAAUGCAAAUUUACACAAAUAAUAAAUAAAAAUUAUUUCAAUCUACUUUCUGAUACCUAAAUUCAUCCAAUUUCUAACCUAAACUCAUUCAAUUUAUAUAAAAAAUAAAAUUAAAUUCAACAACACAAUAAUCACACAAUAAAUCUAAAUAACAUCCAACAUAUCAUAAAUUCAUAAUUAUAUAUAUAUAUAUAUUAAUUUAUUAAGAAACCAGGGCCGGGUCCGGGUUGGGUUUUUGGUGUUGAACCCGCAAAAUUACUCACAGCGGGCGGGUUUUGGCUGGCAAGUUUGGAUGGAUUUGCGGGUUUGUAGGUACCGUUACCAUCCAUAGUUGCAUGUUGCAGUUAAGUUGAUGCGGAAAAAGAAAUGUAGGCAUGAAAUAAAAAUUAAUAACAUAUAGUAAAUAUAAUUUUUAAAUAAUAAUUUUAACAAAAUUAAUAAAAUUAUAAUUUUUUUUUAUCAUACAAGUGUAAAAUCAAAUCAACUUAAUUUUUAAGUUAUAACAACUAACAUUUAUCAAACAGCUUAGUAUUAUUGUUUAAAAUGCCUAAGUUACCCAUUUAAUAAUUUAAUAUAUAAGAUACAUAUGUAAUCGAAUGAACAAGGGAAUUGACAUAUAAGCAAAUCAAAGAUAUUGUUUAACAAACAAUAAAAUUGUGCCACGUUUUGUAAGGAUGAGGAAACUUAACGGGCUUAACCGGAGCCUAUCGUUCAUUGAUUGUCAAGUUUUGUAAUGAGUACGGCUGCUCGAUCGCCAUCUUUUGCAAGCACCAGCUGCCACACUGCAGACACUUCCACCAUUGCGAAAUGGUCAUGCUUCAGUCUUUUUGUUUUUGUUAUGAGUGCCGCUAAAUAUCAAGAACAACGAGAGAAGGAUGAGAGAAUUACCUAUUCUCUCUCUCUGUUGUUGAUUUUUUUUUUCUCUCUCUUCUCCCACCACAUGCUUCAUUCUCUCGUCAUUCUUUCGUUUUUCUUGAUACUUAACAUUUUUCUUUUGUUAUACACAUUCGAGCAAGUCUUGCGUACAUCAGUUUGUGCCUGAGUUGCUGCCCUUUCAUUUUUACUUUAUGUAUUAAAGCAUCAUUCAUAAUCCUCCUCCCCACUAAAAAUGUUUUGAUAAAAUUAAUUAAAUAUUUAAAUUAUUUUAUUUAUUUAUUGUAUUAUGAUUACCCAAUAACUUAUUUACAAGAUAUUUAAUUUCCUUAUUAUUUUAACUUAUUUACAACGAUGGCAAUUGAACUCCCACACUCACUUCAACGACUUGACAAUUAAUGGUAGGAUAGUAAGCCUUUGAAUUUACGGAUUAUGUAAUGACUUCAAUGACUUUAGGCUAUGUUUUGGAGAUAUGAUUAAAUGCAGGAUUAGAUUAAUGUUAGAAUUAAAUAUUUAUCUUAUAUUUGGCAAGCUCCACUUUGGAUUAAAUUAUGGGACUAAAUUUGAAUUUAAUCCUAAGAUUAUGGGGAUUAACAAUCCCAAUUGAGAGAUGGGUUUAGUUAGGAUUAACUUUAAAAAUAAUUGUCUAUUUAAUUAAUUAUUAAAUGAAUAUCUAAUAUAAUAUUGGUUACUUUUAAAUUAUUUGCUAAUUUUUUGAUAAAAUAAAAUUAAAUAUUUAAAUAAUUUUUAAUUUGAUUUAACCUAGUCUAGUUUAUAUUUGUUUAUUAUAAUUAUAAUUGCCUAAUAACUAAUUUUCUGGAUAUUUAGUUUUAAUUAAUUAUCUUUUAAAUUAUUAUCAUUAAUUAUUUUAUUAUUAAAUAUUCAUAAAUAAUUCAUAUUUAUAUUUAAAUAUCAACUUAAAUGCUAUUUAAUUUUAUUCAAAUAAAAUUUAAUAUAGUCCAUUCCAAUACUAUACCAAACAUAAGAUAAUAUUAUAUAAGACAAGCUAAUUUAAUUAAAUUUAAUUAAAUCUAAUCCUAAUAAUUGGUUCAAUCUAAUCAUGCUUCCCAAACGUGGCCUUAACGUAAUAGUGCCGAUAUUUAGGGAUGGCAAUGGAUUGGAUUUGAUUCAAGAUCCAUGUGAUCCAAAUCCAAUCGGAUCGGAUUUGGAUCGGUUUAAAAUGGAUUUGGAUCGGAUUUGGAUAUCGAUGUGCGGAUCUAAGACGGAUCUGGAGCAGAUAUGGAUCUAUCUUAAUAUCUAAAUCCAUAUCCAUAUCCACUCAUCUUUUAAUUUUAUUUUAUUUUAAAAGUUUCUUAAUAAUUGUGGAAUGAUAAUGAUAAUAAAUUUUAUUCAUAGCAUAUUAGUAGUAUUUACCAUGAAUUUAAACUCUUAAAACUUAAAGGUUAGUUUUGUAAAUUUAAAGGUCAGCCAAGCCUCAAAGCAUGUACAUGCAAUAUUCAAAUUGCAAUCCAAGUAAUAUAACUUGGUAAUUUAUUUUAUCAUAUUGGCCAAAUAAUUUUUAAGGAAUAUAGUUAUUCAUAUAUUUAGUCAAAUAUGGUCAUAAUAAAAAUAAUAAAGGACUGAAUAUAAAUCAUAUUUAAUUUAUAUGUCAUUAUCUAAUGUUGUAGGAAUGAGGGUAGGUGUAUCGUGAAUACUAGAAUGAUGAAGGAGACAAUAGAAUAUUAGAUUGAUCUUACUCCUGUAAUUACUUCUGAAUGAUAUUUUAUUAUCUUUCUUAUUUGUUGUUUUGGUGUAGAAGUAUAAGCUACAAUAUUUAUUAUAUUUUUGAGAAAAAUUAUAUAAUUUAUUUGUUAUCAAUACAUUUUAGCACUCAAUUUUCAAUCUAAAAAAUUAUUACUUUUUUAUUACAAAAUUUUAAAAUUCAUGACGGAUCUAGAGCAGAUUUGGAUUUUAAUUUUUUUUUUCGGAUUUGGAGCAGAUAGAGAUAUUUAUUUCUUUUUUUGAUCUGGAUAUGGAGCGAAAAAUAUGGAUUCAUAACGGAUCUGGAGCAGAUGCGGAUCUUGAUUUUUAUUAUGGAUUUGGAUUUGGAGCAGAGUAGAUCCAACCCAUAUCUGCCCCAUUGCCAUCCCUACCGAUAUUGAUCGUGAUAAUGCACUCACUAUAUUGGGUGAUACACACCCAACCAUUCUUGUCUAGUUGGGGACCAUUCUUGAUCUUUUUAUUGCACUGAUCCGAUGUUCCACAUUUAGCCACGUUUCCGCUUUUACACAACCAAAGUUGUUGACCACAUCCGAAUUAGGGGUGUUAAAAAUGACCCGCCCAGUCCAGAUCCAAACCGCACCCUGACGUUGUGAGCCGAGUAUUACCCGGCCAGUUAUAAAGCCGGGCUAGUUUAUGAAUUAUUUGAUAAAUUCGGGACACGACCCAUAACUCGGAUUUAUUAAAAAAAAAAUUAAAUAUAUAUUAUUUUAAAUAUUUAUAUUUAUUUGACCCAUCUAUUACACAUAUAUAAAGUUUUAAACAUUUAAAGUUUAUUUUCAUGUCAAAAUUUAUUGAAAUAAAUUUAAAACUUAUAAAAUUACAAAAAAUAAAAAAAUUAUACAUAUAUAAUAUUAAAAAAAUACAUUUGUCGAAUAAAAUUUAAAUUUUGAAUAAAUAAAAAUUACGGAGUUGAAAAUAAGAGGUUUCCGUCACGCUAAUUUAAAUGGAGAGGAUAUUAAGUUCAGGCUAAAUAAUUAUUAAAAAAUUCAUAAUAAAAAAGCAAAAAGAAAAUAAAAAUAAUCCCAAUCUGUUUGAUGAACAAGGAUAGAAAAGGAUGAUUGUUUUAUGAGUAGAUUUGGCUCAUUGGUUGGAACAGUUUGGUUGUUGACUUGUCAAGUGUUGAUUGGAUGCUCAUCUAGUGGUCCCCAUAAUGUUAUUGAAUUAUAGUUAUUAGGGUUGGUAAAAUGCGGGUUUGGGCUCAGGUAUCGCAAUGCCCGGACCUGGCCCAGAUGUAAUUUUUAGAUGCUCGGACUGGGUUUUAAUUCGGAUACCUGGAUUUUAAAUUUUUUAAUAUUAUUUAUGUAUAAUUUUUUAUUUUUUUGUAAUUUUUUAAGUUUUAAAUUUAUUUUAAUAAAAUUUGACAUGAAAAUAUAAAUUUUAAGUAUUUAAAACUUUAGAUAUGUGUAAUAGAUGAGUCAAAUAAAUAUAAAUAUUUAAAAUAGUAUAUUUUUUUAAUAAAAUUUGAGUUUCGAGCUAGGUUCUGAGUUUAUUAAGUGAUGUUUAAGACCGACCCGACUUCAUACUCAGACCAAAUAAUACCCGACCCACAACGCCUGGAUGCGAUCUAGAUCUGGACCGAGGGGGUAUUUUUACCACCCCUAAUUGUUAUCUUCUUUCGUUUUCGUUUCCAUGUUUCAAGAUUUUCUAAUUAUUUAAUUAUGCUAUUUUCUUUUAAUAUGGUACACGCUACACACACUAGACAGGCAAUCCCAUUGAUGCUCUUUCCAAUCUCAUUAAGCAAUCAUCAUUAGCAUAUUUUUACAGCAUUCAAAUUAUUAAAAAUUAAAAUAACAUCAUUAACAGUUUGGAUUGGAACAACAUCUUGAAAUUAUAUAUCAAAAAGCUAAAAUUAUUAAACAAAAAGAAGAAAGAACUUGUAUACUUAUUGAUUACAACUUUCUCAUCUUAUUUGAACAAUGAAGAUGUCUUUCUGUGUGCACAUGCGCCGUAAGAUGAUUACGUUGUGGGGAAAACUGUGAUAAAAUUUUGGACCCAGUUGCCUUUGAUUUUUCAGACUGUCGAAAAUUGCGGCUAUGUGUUCACACUAUAUUAGUUCAGUUUAACCAUGCAAAGUUUUUGGGUAUUAUUCAUUGCGUGACACUGGAGACAAUUUAUAUUUAAUAGUUGGUUAGGCAUUUUGCUUGAUAUUAUUUGGACUCGUAGGGGUGUUAAAAUUUUUGUUAAUUUAUAAUUCAGAUCUUAUUGUAAUAAGAUAGCAAUUUUUGUUGUGGCAAAAUGUUGUUUGUUACAUAAACAGUUCAUACCAAGAAGAGCAGCCAUAUUUGACUUUUUAGAAGGACAUAAUAUUGGAAUAAGCGCAAUUAAGCAGUUAGCAAGCCUUUAGGAUGGAUGGCUUUCUAUGCAAAUGGGCUAUAAGAAUAAGAUGAUUUAAGUUUAGGGGAAAUUUGUACAUCUAGUUGCCUUCAAUUUUUCUGACGGGGAAAAUUGUGGAUGACACGUGUAAUUUAAACAACUUAAAAGAAGAAAUUAAGAUUAUCAUAUGAUAUAAUUAUAAAACGUCAAAAAGUGUAAUUAGAAAUUUUUGCUAAAGUAGAGAGAGAAUAAAAGGUCACAAAUUUGCUUUAAUUUACUCUAUGCUCCACGCGGUAUACUAGCUAGUACAAAUUCAGUAUGAUCACUACUUUAUAUAUGCAUUGCUUGAAAGUUAUAUAAAGUAAAUCUCUUUCACUUAUCAAAUUUUAAGUAUUAAUUAAUAAAUUAAUAAUGCUUAAUUAGAGAAGAAAAAACUAAGGGACAGUCCGGAAAGAUUAUUUGAUUAAAAUAUAUUCUUAAAUUCUACUAAAAGUUCAAUAGUGAAUAUAAAGUACAAAUAUAUAAUUUAAUAAUUUUCAAACAGAAUGUUCUUUUUUCAAUAAGAUUGGCUCAUAUUAAACUCUUUAUUAUUAAUCUAUAUUCCAUAAAGUACAAACUCUUUAUUAUUAAUCUAUAUUAAACUACCAACAAAGUGUUGGCUCCACUGGCAAUGGAGUCUCCUUAAGUGGUUUGACUGGAUUUGCUCCCCAGUUUGAGUCGCUGGGAAGUCGCAUUUGUUGGGAGAACAUGUGUCUCUCGGUUCGAGCAGGGACUUUUAGUAUGGGUUGUGGUACGGGCUUAAAAGUGCAUCCCAUAGUUGGGGCCCUUCCCAGGAUACCUCGUGGUCAAAACAAAAAAAAAAUUAAUCUAUAUUAAACUCAUGUCUCUUUCUAUACACAGUUGGCCUCCGUGCAAAAAGCAGUUUUCCGCGCGUAAAUCUUGUAUUAAUUUAGUGCAUGAUCUUAAGCAACAUCUUUGAUUUGCUAUUGUGUUGAUUAUCUCUGUUGAUUUUCCUAAUAUUAUAUCAUUUGUACUCUCUCAUACAUAAUAAAUUAUUAAAUCAAUGGUUUAUUCUUAAUAAGUUUUUUAGCAUUAAUUUGGGUGAAGGGGGACACAAUAGAUACAAAAUGGUUUCUUUGAGGAUUUUGUUUUUCUGUGAAAAAUCCAAAACUGAGAUGCGGUCAUGGGAUGAUUCCCUAAAUGAACAGACAUGUGGCAGAUGAAGCAGUCGUGGGUAAGUAUUAUUAGGAAUUUGAGUUGAUAUUUCAAAAUACUAAUAUCCCACGUUGUUUAAACAAGAGAACACAAGUUGAUUUAUUUAUAAAAACUAGAUACAUUGUGGCAUCAGAAUAAUGUUAUGUUAUAUGUAUGUAACUUAUAAUCCUCUCACAUAAAUAGUGGAUGAACCCACACUAUUAUUCAUGUGAGAAAAUUAUAAAUUACAUGCAUGUAACUUAGGGGAUCUUGUGGCAACAAAUCCCCGCAACACGAAACCAAGCAUAACUAAAAAUACUUUAAAGAAAUAUACGUAAAUUCCCAAGAGUUCAAAAGUUCACAAAACCAAGCAAUCCUUCGAAAGUUAAAUUCCCACUAUAAAGAAAUACAAGAAAUUUGUUCCAAACUCAAAAAGAAGACCCAAAGACCUAUAACUCUGAAAGCUACCUUUGAGACACAAGUAACAAAAGAACUUUGAAAGCUACCUUAGUGACACAAAGAACAAAAGAACUCUGAAAGCUACCUUAGUGACACAAGUAACAAAAGAACUCUGAAAGCUACCUUAGUGACACAAAUAACAAAAGAACUCUGAAACCUACCUUCAGAGCAAAAGAGAAGAAAUUACACAAGUAACAAAAGAACUCUGAAAGCUACCUCCUUCAGAGCAAAUCUGAAGGUACAAGAAAUUUGUUCUAAGCUCAAAAAGAAGACCCAAAGACCCAUAACUCUGAAAGCUACCUUAGAGACACAAGUAACAAAAGAACUUUGAAAGCUACCUUAGAGACACAAAUAACAAAAGAACUCUGAAAGCUACCUUCAGAGCAAAAGAGAAUAAAUAAAUUUCUAGAGACACAAAUAACUCUGAAAGCUACCUUCAGCGCCAAAGAGACACAAAUAACAAAAGAACUCUGAAAGCUACCUUCAGACCUUCAGCGCAAAAGAGUCCCUGGAAAAGAAGUCCCAGGAAAAGACCCAAAGACACAAAUAAAUAAAUAAAUUUCUCUUCUCCUGACACAAAGACACCGCAGAUACUAAAGCUACCUUCAGACCUCAAAAACCCCCUAUAAAUAAAUUUCCCCCUCAAAGCCAUCAGACCUCAACGCCAAUUCCCAAUUUCGCAGAUACUAUAAAGAAAUACUUUUUAAUUAGUUGAAACCUCAAAGAAACCCAGAAACCCUUCAAUUCAAACCUCAAAAAAUGUGCCUCGGAAACAAACCAUAUCAGUGCUCUGUUAUCUGGGAUGGGGAUGAAAACCUCGUUCACUUCAAGUGCCGUGUUCCAUCAACGACGAAGCGAGAGGAUGUGAAGGUUGAGAUUGAUGAACAUGGGAAAUUGCUUAUAGAAAUAAGCAAAGGGGUAAGUUCACAUAGUGAUCCUCUCUCUUCAGCUUCUUCCUUGAUGAUCAGAUUCGGAUCCUUUCUCCUAAGCUUCCUGAAGAAAAAUGAGGGAGACACCACCAGCCCGAUAGGCCCGAUGGAAUUUAACUUGCCAGCGGGUCUUAACACGAAUGACUUCGAGACUGCGAUCGAUGACGAGGGGUUGCUGACUCUCACUUUCAAAAAGCUCGUGCCCAUUCGUGCCCAUUAUCAGCGCUCUGUGUUCUGGGACGAGGAUGAAAACCUCGUUCACUUCAACUACCGUCUUCCAUCAGGGACGAAGCGAGAGGAUGUGAAGGUUGAGAUUGAUGAAGAUGGCAAAUUGCUUAUAACAAUAAUAAGCAAGGUGGCAGGUGCACAUACUGAUUCCUCCAUGAUCAUAUCCUCUCUCUUCAGUUUCCUGAAUAAAAAGGAAGGAGACACCACCAGCCAGAUAAUCCGGAUGGAAUUCAACUUGCCAGCGGGUCUUAACACGAAUGGCUUCGAGACUGCGAUCGUUGACGAGGGCUCGCUAACUCUCACUUUCAAAAAGCUCGUGGAGUGGAAGAACAAAAAGCGCGUCUUUCACUUCAAGGCCUAUCUGCCAGCGGGGACGAAGAUGGACGACAUGACGGUUGACAUAGAAGGUCGCAAAUCCCUUGUGAUAGGCAUUCAUGAUCGGCUGAAGAAAGAGGAAGGGGACACCAGUACCCGCAUGUGCUUGAAUGGCAAGAACUUUAGGAGCUUCAUUUUGCCAGAUGGUGUGAACCCAAAUGGCUUCGAGACUGCAAUGGAUGAUGCCGGUGUUCUAACUGUUACCUUCACUAAACUCAAGCCGGAGAAGAAAAAGCUGGGGCCAAUAGCGAAGAAGAUGCUGGGAUGUUUGGCUGAUGCUGCUCUUAUGCUGAUAUGUGGGGGGAUAACUGAUGCGAUUUGUCCAGGAGACUGCUAACAGGCUGGUGUCAAGUAGGUAUUUGCUUUAUGUUCACGUAUGUUGUUUCUGUCGUUUAUCUGUCAGUGUUUGAAAGAAAAAUAAAAAAGAACUCUGGACUCCAUAGUCUAGACCAGGUGUUCGUUAAUUUCUGUGUUGUGUGGUGUUGUGACUCCAGAUCGAGUCAAGACCAGGUGUUCGUCAAUUUCCGUCUUUCGUGGUGUUGUAUCUCCUUUGUUUCAGUGAAAUAAAAAAUGAUAAAACGCUGUUGAGCGAAAAAUAAAUGCAUUUUUUUUUUAAUGGUGUUGAAUAUUAAAAAAACAAAACAAGGCCUGGUUUCAUGCAUACGUGCAGCCACAAGAUAAAGGAGAAACUGGAGAUCGGUCAGGUGAGCCAAUCAUGCUACAAAAUCUGCAAUCUGUGUAUAAUAGAAUUAAAAAAAAAAAAAAACUGCUUGCGGUUGGAUUUUUUUUUUUCAAAUGAGUACAUUGGUAAUGGUGUCCGUAGGAAUGGUAAAAUCCGCAUUUAUAUUUUUAUAUUCGGAUCUGCAUCCGUAUCCGCAAAAAAAAUAUACGGAUCCGGAUGCGGAUAAUAUUCGUAACGGAUACGGGUGAAUAUUCUAAAUAUUCGGAUCUGCAAAAUUAAGAUUCAAUAAUUUAAAACGUAAUUUAGAAAUUCAAUAAUUUAAAAAUUAAAGUAAUUAAAUCAAAAACCUAAUUAAUAAUUAAAGCAAAUAUAAAAUUAAACUAAUUUGUAAAGGUCCAGCCAUGAUUUUUCACUAAAUUUAUGCUUUUACAUAUUAAUUUACUAAAACUAUGAAUAUUGAUUGUUGGAAAGUAAUUGGCGUGGGCUUGGCAGUUGGCUCACCUUUUGUAUUUCUAUUUUCGGGCGUUUAUGAGUGGUGGGAAGCAAGGGUUGAUUUCGGCCAUUUGUGAGUGGUGGGGAGUAGCCGAGCAGGGGCUGAUUUUAGUUGCUUGUGGCUGUACCCACUACUACAAAAAUUCAAAAUAAUGACCCAUAAAUUAUUACGGUUUUUAAAAAUAACUGUCAUUAAAAUUUUUUUAUAACCGUUAUUAUGUAAACCAUCAUAAUAUUUAAUACUUACAAUAACGAUUUUAUAAAAAAAUCGUCAUUAAAUAUAAAUUUAAAAUAUAAUAUUAUUUUUAAUGACGGUUCGUUAUAAAAACCGUCAUUAAAAAUAUUAAUACGAUAAUGACGGUUUAUUAUAAAAAUCAUCAUUAAAAAUAUAUAAUUAUAAUGACAGUUUAAUUAAAAAACAAUCAUUAAAUAUAUAAUUAUAAUAUAAUGUUAAGUUUAAUGACGGUUUAUUAUAAAACCGUCAUUAAAAAUACAAUAAUGCUACACAUCCUAAAUUUUUUAUCCCAAAAAGUUAUUCCAAAUGAUGUGUCAUUAAUUGAGUGGUUGAUAAUUCUUUACAAGAUCCAAGUGAAUUAAUUGUAUUAUCUCACCAACCAAUUGGUAAAUGACACAUCAUUUGAAAUAACUUUUUGAGAUAAAAAAUUUAGGAUGUGUAGCAUUAUUGUUAAAAAUACAUACUUACAAUGAUGGUUUUUAAACUUAACUGUCAUUGUAUCUCUACUAAAAUAUAACCUUAGUAUUAAUGACCGUUAUUUUAGGAACCGUGGUUAAAGAGGAAAUUACUAAUCUUCAUUCAUGACCAUUUAUUUUAUAAACGGUCAUGAAUAAUACAAAUAAAAAAACAAAGCCGAUUUCUAGACUUGGCAUUUUAUUUCAUCACUUCAAAAUAUCUCUCCCAAAUACCCAAAUUCCUUCCAUCACACGCUCAUUUCUCUCCAGAAUAGCCAAGAUUGAUUGUUGCCCACUUCGUAACCAUCACAACCUUGGGAUUAUUGUGCCGUCUCAGUAGCCACCGAGUUGAAUCCCAUUGUUAAUGCUCCAAUGCAUCCUCAGUUCACUGCCUAGGUCAGCUCUAUUUGACGUUUUGAUUUAUUUGUAAUCAAAUUGACACAUUAUCAGCUCCUCUAUUGAAAGCCCUCUACUUUCCACAUACAUUACUGGAAAGGAAUUUGAAAUUUCUUAUUUAUGAGCCAAAUCAUUCUCGCUCUCUAUCUCUCUCUAUAUUUUCAUUUUAUUACUUAUAAAUCUCAUUAAUUUGAUUGGGUAGGUUUCAUGGUUUUGUAACCUAGCAUUGGAUGACUCUAAACAUGGCUACUUCUCUCAGAGAUUAUUGGUGUGCUUGAUAUUAGUAUUGAGUUCAAUCAUCUGCAAGGUUUGUUUCAGUUCUAAUAGUUUGUUUUAAAAUUUUUCGUUGCCAUGUAAUUCUAUGGUGUGGAUUUUAUGAAAUUCAUGUUUAAUUCAGCAAACUCUGUUUCCUUUAAGUAUUUAGUUCUAUGACUGGCAAUAAUAGGUAGAAAAACCUUGAAAGGGCCAUAACAUUUUUCUUUUUUGUUGUUUUUUUAACUUUGUUUUGAUGUAAUAAAAGUAUUCCUUCCUCCCAAACUCAAUUGAGAGGAUUUAAUUGUUCUUUUCUUAUAUUGAAGUGUUUAGAAGCUCUGAUUGCCACUGAUUUAUAAAGAAAACAGCAAUUGUAAAAUUAUUCUGCCGUUAUAUGCUGUUAAAAACAGCACAUGGAACUUCCAAGCACUGAUUUUAGCAACUGGACAACAUCCAUAAAAUUUUCUCGGCGUGUCAUGCUGCUAUUUGUUGUAAAAAAACAGCAUUGAAAAGUUUCAGAUGCUAUUUUAACACAAUUACAGCAGCAUGACAACACCCAAAAAAUUUUCUAGGAGCUGUCUUGCUGCUAUUUGCUGUUAAAAACAGCACCUGAGAGUUCCAAAUGCUGUUUUUAUCAGCUGGACAGCACUAAAAAAAUUUUUAGGUGCUGUCAUGCUGCUGUUUAAGGCUAAAAACAACACCCUAAAGUUGCAGGUGCUGUUUUUAACACAAUUUUAGCAGCUACGUAGCACUUAUAAAAAAUUCUAGGUGCUGUAAUGUGCUGUUUGCUGUUAAAAACAGCACCUAAAAUUUUUUUGGGUGCUGUCAUGCUGCUGUUCAAGGCUAAAAACAACACCCAAAAGUUGCAGGUGUUGCUUUUAACCCAAUUUUAGCAGCUAUUUUCUAAGUGUUGUCAUGAUGUUGUUUGCUGUUAAAAACAGCACUUGAAAAUUUCAGUUGCUGUUUUUAUCAGCUAGACGGCACCCAAAAAUUGUUUGGGUGCUGUCGUACUCCUGUUUGAUUAGAAAAACAGCAUCCAAAGUUUUCAGGUGCUGUUUUAACAUAAUUUCAGUAGUUAGACAGCACUCGAAAAAAUUUUUAGGUGCAUUCAAGCUGUUGUUUACUGUAAAAACUGCAAUGAAACUUUCAGUUGUUGGGUUUAUUAGUUAGAUAGCACCUAAACUACUUUAGGAUGCUGUCAUGCUGCUGUUUGAUGUUAAAAGUAGCACCCGAAAGUUGUUAAUGAAAUAGUGACGAUAAUGAUCAUAAUUGAGGAAAAGAAGAACAAGCAUGAACAUUUUGCACCACUGUAUUAUGGAUAUAAUUCCUUCGAAGUAAAAGGCUCUAUAUAUGGAAUAUUAAUAUUGAAUUGGAGUUAGUUAUAUACAACGUCUUACAUGGUAUGCCAUUAUUAUUAAAUUAUGUAAAUCAGUUCCUUUGUCCUUCAUGCCAUGGCUAAAUACAUUUUCAUGCUUGUUGUGGACCUCUUUGGUUAAUGUAGUGAGACCUUGCUUGAUCUUGAGCCAUUUAAUGGGAUGUUGCACUUGAGUGAGAACGGAAAACCUUGUGGGCAGUUUGAUGCAACUAUUAUUUCUCGUAAUGGUGAUACAGUGCUGCUACUACCUUUGCUUCCUCUCUCAGCAGAAGUUUAUAGUCUUAAAAUUUUGCAUUAAGAAAAUGCAUGUUUUUUAGAUUGCAGUGGCAAAAUGUUAAACGGGCUUCACUAUUGUGGGG
rnacentral:lncRNA from 1 species